ACUGGAAUGAACGGCUAAAUGAAGACUAAACUGUCUCUUGCAGACCACCUAUAAAACUGAUCCCCUAGUCAAAAAGCUAGGAUUUUAACACAAGACGAGAAGACCCUGUGGAGCUUAUAAACCAAGCUCAUAACAUGAUCCUCUGGUUUUUAGUUGGGGCGACUUCGGAGCACAGGAAAUCCUCCGACUAAUCAACCGCCAGAAAAACAUAUCAAACGGUUAUUCCUAGACCCAGUAGCUCAUACUAACUGACUAACGAACCAAGUUACCCCAGGGAUAACAGCGCUAUCCUCUUCUAGAGUCCUUAUCGACAAGAGGGCUUACGACCUCGAUGUUGGAUCAGGACACCCCAAUAGUGUAACCGCUAUUAACG
rnacentral:rRNA from 1 species